CGAAGCUAUUCAUCAUAUCCAAGAUUUCAUUGCUGAGAACACAGGAUCUAGUCCAACACCUCCUGUAAUCUCUCCAACUCUUGUCCCUAACCAUCCUCCUCCUCAAGUGACUCUUAUAAGAGAUAAAUUUUAUAUUAAUCUUGAUCAUGCACCUGAAACAUUCAAGAUUGUUGAAAGAGUGCUUGGUCCUUCCGGUGACAAUGUCAACUACAUUCAAACAGAGACUGGUGUAAGUGUAUCUUUGCAAGGUCAGGGAAUUAGUUCAUCAAAUGCAAGUGAUGAACCACAUCAUUUAUUACUAGAGCAUAUUGAACCGUCAGCAUCCAGUUCAAAACGCCCGAUCAUUGGCGCUUAGUUUAGUUGGAACUCUCCAACAAGACUUCAUUCAGUGGCAAAGAGAACAACAAGCAUUACAACAACAGCAACUUGUUUACACCUUCUCUCAACCAUACUAUAGCGGGUCAUCAACUGCUAGUGGAAAUUUCACCUAUCCUGCCGUUGCCAUGGUUUACGGCAUGGAAAAUGGUUUGACACAGACUGCAGCUGUGAGAGAGCCACAGUCAGUAGGCUACAAACCCACCAACACACGAGAGGC